rnacentral:misc_RNA from 1 species
ACCAUCCCGCGUGCGUCGGCCCCACGAGCGCAGGCAAAUAAAAGUAGAGCUAAGUCGAAUUCGGUAAGCGCGCGCAACCUCCACCCCCUAACCACCAUGCACGCGCAGAACCUGUUCAAAGCCGUGGGCGCUCUCCUCGUUGCCUACCUUCUCUUUGUCUACACCAACCGCGACGGCAUCGAGCCGCCGCGCCGCGCGGAGGGCUACUACUAUGUGGCCAAUGAGACACAGCAGCUGCUGGACGAGGCACGAAAGGAGGCGGCGCGCGUGAUGGCGGCGCUGACGGCGGCGCAGCAGACGGGCGGUCAGGCGGCCGCCAGCGCGCUCCUGCGGUACGGCGUGGCCCUGAAGGACGGCGACGAGGGCCUUGCGUCCACCAUCGAGUAUGUGCAUCAGUACCAACAGCUGGCGGCUGCGAGCCAGCUGCAGGGCGACGCGCGUGCGGCACCGGCGCAGUCCGAGGUCGCCAAGCACCCGCCAGUGCGCGUGCAUGUCUUCCUGGCGGCGGAUAACGGCACCUAUUCGGGCAUGCACGAGCUGUUCUACAUCACGGCGGCCAUGCGCUACAGCACCCGCCUGCACAUCGAGGGAUGCCGUUCCGCCCUUUUCGGAUUCCUGGAGAAACCUGUACGCGGCCCGCUGAUGCAUGGCGUGCGCAACCAGCAGCGCGCGGCGAAUGAGAGCGCAACGCGUGAAGUGCAGAUGGUGCCGGUGCUGGCCGUCACCACGGGCAUCUACGUGACGAGAUCCGCCACGUGCACGGCCGCCGUGAUGGAGCUCCCCAUGUUCAGCAUACAGAGCGUGACACUGAUCGGCACGGCGGGCGUGUCGCCGGUGGUGGGCGGCGGCGGCUGGAACCCGCACGUGCCGCCGGCGGAGCUCGCGGGCGAGUCUGUCAAAGCGACCGAGGCGGCCGCCAACCCUGCGUGCCAGCGUCACUGGGCGCCGGAGUCGGAGAAGGUGGCCAUCGGCUCCGUGUGUGUCACGUACGCGUCGCUGGUGCAGGAGUGCGGGUGUUGCGUGGAGGACAACGACCUCUCGUCGCUUUGCUCGCGGCCACGCUGCCGGAUGCAGAACUCCACCACCCUCUUCGGCCCUUGCGCCUUCCGCCACCCCGUGUCGUCCUUCGCGGAGCAGAUGAAGGGCGCCAUGCGUGGCAAGCCCUUCCCCAGUCCCUCGGCUACGGUGCGCGAGGCAAUGCAGGUGUUCUGGGAAGCCAACGAAGCGGUCGCCGACUACGUCGCGGUCGCCGAGGACACAAAGACGCGCCAGGGCAAACAUGCGCACGCGAGCAUCCCCAGCAGCGACGCGCCAGCGACCGCCUCGGAGGUGGUGCGGUCGUACAACCGCCUGGCGCCCACCACGCCUAUCCUGCUGAAUUGCGCAGAGGUGACGACAAGCCAGAUUCUCGCCGGGCCGCGCUCUGACAUUCUGUGCCGGCAGUACACCGAGGAAGUGUUUCAGGGUCUGUACGCUGCCAAGGACCUGUCGUGCGUGCAGGCGAUGGAGGGGAUGGGGGUGUUGCACGUGCUCACGGGCGAGUACCCCACCGUGCCGGUCGCCAUCGUGCGCGGCGGCUCCAACUACGACAUGUUCCCCCUCUCGCGCCAUGUCUACCACCUCAACGGCACAGACACGCGCGGGCGGCGGGAGGAGGGCGACUGGUACGUUGCCUGGGACCAGAAGGAGCACUACGUCAGCGAGGACGAGUUCCACCGCUACACGAAGGCGUCAUACCGGUACUCCAUUGAGACGGCGAGCGCGGUGGUGCUCAACUACUUCCUCAGCGCGGAGACCGUGCUGCCUGGCAUGUGAUGCCGAGCUCGUCACGUGCGUGGCAUCGAAGCGCAUCAGCGCAGGCACGGCUCGCCGCACGUUGACCGCGGCGACUCGCCUCGUUUGCGUGUAUGUGUGCCUGCGCGUGUGAGGGUGGCGGAGGGUCUCCUUCCUUACCUCCUUACUUCCCUGAUUGUUAGCUAACGUUUUGAUCGCGUUCUUCACUGUAUGGCCCACGCGCGCCUCGCCGGCGCGCUUGGCUGACCUCUAACAGCGACUUCCUCCGCAGCAAGCAUCUAUGACUCCCACCCAUCCACACAUUUACGAAGUCGCUUGCAUGAGACACAGCAAUGAACCGGGCGGCACGCGUCGCACUCGACAUCCGCCACAGACGCCUCCCACACCUCCCUCUGCGCUGAAGCGCACCCGAACGCCCUUCAUCAUCCCCGAAUUUCUCUCUCCAAAAUCCCUUUCACGUCUUCCCUGUCCUUCCACCUCCCUCCCGCCAUGACCCUCGCGCAUGGGUAG